GGGAAAUCGAGGUUAUGUCUUUUCUCGUACAUGUUCCCGGGGACAAAAGGUUGUAAUGGUCCUGUAGCGGCAUGCUAGUUCAAGCAGGGACUCUCUGUAGCGGAGAUGCAAUAUUCCCCAGGUUAUCUCCGCUUAUAAUCCAAGUGAGGCUCAGGAACAAGUAAACUGUAAAUCCACAGGCAAGGUUUCCAGCAGGUAAAAUAACAGCAAUAUC